UACGUAGGUGGCAAGCGUUGUCCGGAAUUAUUGGGCGUAAAGCGCGCGCAGGCGGUCCCUUGAAUCUGAUGUGAAAGCCCCCGGCGCAACCGGGGAGGGUCAUUGGAAACUGGGAGACUUGAGUGCAGGAGAGAAGAGUGGAAUUCCACGUGUAGCGGUGAAAUGCGUAGAGAUGUGGAGGAAAACCAGUGGCGAAGGCGACUCUUUGGCCUAUAACUGAAGCUGAGGCGCGAAAGCGUGGGGAGCAAACAGG
rnacentral:misc_RNA from 1 species